rnacentral:rRNA from 1 species
UAACCUGCCUUGGAGUGGGGAAUAACAGCUGGAAACAGCUGCUAAUACCGCAUGAUGCAGUUGGGUCGCAUGGCUCUGACUGCCAAAGAUUUAUCGCUCUGAGAUGGACUCGCGUCUGAUUAGCUAGUUGGCGGGGUAACGGCCCACCAAGGCGACGAUCAGUAGCCGGACUGAGAGGUUGGCCGGCCACAUUGGGACUGAGACACGGCCCAGACUCCUACGGAAGGCAGCAG